rnacentral:tRNA from 1 species
GGGGAUUUAGCUCAGUGGCAUAAGCACCUGCCUUGCAAGCAGGAGGUCGUGAGUUCAAUCCCUG